rnacentral:rRNA from 1 species
CCUACGGGCGGCAGCAGUGGGGAAUAUUGGACAAUGGGCGAAAGCCUGAUCCAGCCAUGCCGCGUGUGUGAAGAAGGCCUUCGGGUUGUAAAGCACUUUCAGUGGGGAAGAAAGCCUUGGGGCUAAUACCCUCGAGGAAGGACAUCACCCACAGAAGAAGCACCGGCUAACUCCGUGCCAGCAGCCGCGGUAAUACGGAGGGGGCGAGCGUUAAUCGGAAUUACUGGGCGUAAAGCGCGCGUAGGCGGUCUGAUAAGCCGGUUGUGAAAGCCCCGGGCUCAACCUGGGAACGGCAUCCGGAACUGUCAGGCUAGAGUGCAGGAGAGGAAGGUAGAAUUCCCGGUGUAGCGGUGAAAUGCGUAGAGAUCGGGAGGAAUACCAGUGGCGAAGGCGGCCUUCUGGACUGACACUGACGCUGAGGUGCGAAAGCGUGGGUAGCAAACAGGAUUAGAUACCCGGGUAGUC